rnacentral:misc_RNA from 1 species
ACAAGCUCCUCAUCUGUUGGGUGGAAUCUAAAUCCAGGAGGCAGUCUAAGCACACCAUUCUUGACAAAAUUGAGCUUCUCCAUCUUAUGAAAAGCACUUCACGGUUGAAGAACAAGAAGAAGAAGAAGAAGAAAGAGAAAACUGUGAUGUCUGUUCCUUGUAGCCCCAAAACUGAGCUUGAAAGUCUCAACCCAAGAAUGGAAACAUAAUUUCAGCUCCAAGAACCAGCCCCAAACCCAUGCAGAAGCUUUAAUUCUGAUAGCUCUCAGCACACGAAAAACAAAGAAGAAGAAGAAGAAGAAAGAAAAGGCGAGAUGAUUGAUGAAAGAAGUAUAUAAAAGAAAAGAAGAGAGGAAAAGGGGAGAAUAGGGGUGUGGGCAUUAGAGGGGGAAAGUGUGGUUUCUUUAUAGCAAUGGCAUUGAAGGAACAGAGGGGUCUUAUUAAGAAUAAGGACGAGUCAUUUGGCGUGAAGGAGACUCAAACUCUUCUCUUUUUUCUCUUGAGCCUAUUUGUAAAAAGAAAUCUAAAUAAUAAUAAUUAUAAGUUGAGGAGUUUAGGACAGUUAAAAG